GACGAACGCUGGCGGCGUGCUUAACACAUGCAAGUCGAACGGAAAGGCCUCUUUCGGGGGGUACUCGAGUGGCGAACGGGUGAGUAACACGUGAGUAACCUGCCCUUGACUUUGUGAUAACUUCAGGAAACUGGGGCUAAUACCGGAUAGGAGCUCCUGCUGCAUGGUGGGGGUUGGAAAGUUUCGGCGGUUGGGGAUGGAAUCGCGGCGUAUCAGCUUGUUGGUGGGGUAGUGGCUUACCAAGGCUUUGACGGGUAGCCGGGCUGAGAGGGUGACCGGCCAAAUUGGGACUGGGAUACGGCCCAGACUCCUACGGGAGGCAGCAGUGGGGAAUAUUGCAAAAUGGGUGGGAGCCCGAUGCCACAAAGCCGUGUGCGGGAUGACGGGCUUCGGGUUGUAAAACGCUUUCGCUCAUGACGAAGCUUUGUGUGACGGUAGUGGGUAAAGAAGCACCGGCUAACUACGUG
rnacentral:rRNA from 1 species